rnacentral:tRNA from 1 species
GGUGAGGUGGGUGAGUGGCUGAAACCACCAGUUUGCUAAACUGACGUACGGGUAACCGUACCACGAGUUCGAAUCUCGUCCUCACCG